GACGAACGCUGGCGGUAUGCUUAACACAUGCAAGUCGAACGGUGAAGGAGAGCUUGCUCUCCGGAUCAGUGGCGAACGGGUGAGUAACACGUGGGCAACCUGCCCCUCACUCUGGGAUAACGCCGGGAAACCGGCGCUAAUACCGGAUACGACCAGGCGCGACAUCUCGCCUGGUGGAAAGAAUUUCGGUGAGGGAUGGGCCCGCGGCCUAUCAGCUUGUUGGUGGGGUAACGGCCCACCAAGGCGACGACGGGUAGCCGGCCUGGGAGGGCGACCGGCGACAUUGGGACUGAGACACGGCCCGGACUCCUACGGGAGGCAGCAGUGGGGAAGAUUGCGCAAUGGGCGAAAGCCUGACGCAGCGACGCAGCGUGAGGGACGAAGGCCUUCGGGUUGUAAACCUCUUUCAGCGGGGACGAAGCGAAAGUGACGGUACCCGCAGAAGAAGCACCGGCUAACUACGUGCCAGCCGCCGCCGUAACAC
rnacentral:rRNA from 1 species